ACCCGCUGAACUGAAGCAUCUCACUAAGCGGAGGAAAAGAAAGUAACAACGAUUGCCCUAGUAUCGGCGAGAGAAGCGGCAAGAGCUCAAGAUGUAAAUCUCCGUCCCUCGGGCGGCGAAUUGUAAACUGUGAGGAGGUUCUUACCCAACGCGGCUGUGCAGAAUUCCACAUGAGAAGGAGCCAGAGAGGGUGCAAGCCCCGUCUGUGGUGCGGCCGUAGGUGCGGAGCCUUUUCCAAGAGUCGGGUUGUUUUGUAUUGCAGCCCUAAAUGGGGGAUAAACUUCCCCUAAAGCUAAAUACAUAUGGGAAACCGAUAGCGAACAAGUACUGUGAAGGAAAGAUGAAAAGAACUUUGGAAAAGAGUUAACAGAUUCGAAAUCGUCGUGAAGGAAGCAGUAGAAAUUUAUCUUUCGUUACAGGGCUGAAGCGUCUGCGUAGUCAUCGUAGUGGUGGAGCACUUCACAGGCUUGCUGCUGCGCAUGGUGGAGCGGGCGUUAUGCUCUGUGGCGUUAGGCAGGGUGGGUUCUCAUCGGCGGAUGGGCUGGUCAUUGCUCCGGGGCCUCGGUCUCGACUUUGGUUGUGCUUGCGUUGGUGAGGACUGAGGGUGCUUUGUGCGAUCCUGCCAAAAUGAUUUUACUGACCCGUCUUGAAUCACGGACCAAGGAGUCGAACGUAUGUGCGAGUGUGUUGGUGGAAAAAACCAAUACGCGUAAUGAAAGUGAACGGUGCCAAGGCAACAGCAGCAUCGGCCGACCAUGAUCCUCUGGUGAAAGGUUUGAGCAUGAGCACAUCCGCUCGGACCCGAAAGAUGGUGAACUAUGCCUGUGCAGGGUGAAGUCAGGGGAAACUCUGAUGGAGGCUCGUAGCGAUUCUGACGUGCAAAUCGAUCGUCAAACAUGGGUAUAGGGGCGAAAGACUAAUCGAACCAUCUAGUAGCUGGUUCCCUCCGAAGUUUCCCUCAGGAUAGCUGGGACAUAUACGCAGUUUUAUUAGGUAAAGCGAAUGAUUAGAGGCAUCGGGGACGCAAUGUUCUCGACCUAUUCUCAAACUUUAAAGUUGGUAAGAACUCCGGAUUGCCUUAAGUGAAUCACGGAGGUGGAAUGCGUGUCCUUAGUGGGCCAUUUUUGGUAAGCAGAACUGGCGAUGAGGGAUGAACCUAACGUUGAGUUAAGGUGCCCAACUGCACGCUCAUCAGAUACCACAAAAGGUGUUGAUUCAUUUAGACAGCAGGACGGUGGCCAUGGAAGUCGGAAUUCGCUAAGGAGUGUGUAACAACUCACCUGCCGAAUGGAUUAGCCCUGAAAAUUGAUGGCGCUCAAGCGUGUGACCGAUACUCAACCACUGUUGCGAGAGUUAGGCAGCAGUGAGUAGGAGGGCGUGAACGUUGUGUUGAAGCCUUUGGCGUGAGCCUGGGUAGAACAGCGUUUAGUGCAGAUCUUGGUGGUAGUAGCAAUUAUGCAAAUGAGAACUUUGCAGGCCGAAGUGGAGAAGGUUUCCGUGAGAACAGCAAUUGGUCACGGGUGACUCGAUCCUAAGACAUUGGGGAACUCCUUGUUAAAUGAGCUUUUAGCUCGCAGUCGAAAGGGAAUGAGGUUCAUAUUCCUCAAGCUGGCUGUGGAUUUUGCAUCGCUAUGGCAACAUUUAAUGAGCUCAGAGACGCCAGCGUAAGCUCCUGGAAGAGUUCUCUUUUCAUUUAACAGGCUAUCGACCUUGAAGUCGGAUUAUCCGGAGAUAAGGUUGUAUGUCUGGAAGAGCAGCUCGCUUCCUGAGCUGUCAGGUGCGCUUACGAUGGCCCUUGAAAAUCUGAGUAAGAUUGAUAUUUCACACCAGGUCGUACCAACAACCGCAUCAGGUCUCCAAGGU
rnacentral:rRNA from 1 species